UCCUUGAUGGUCUAGUGGUCAUGAUUUCCGCUUGUCAAAGCAGCCUGCUUAACAAGCGCGGGAGACCGGGGUUCGAUUCCCCGUCAGGGAG
rnacentral:tRNA from 1 species